rnacentral:rRNA from 1 species
AUACCAAGGGACUGGGUAACGUGAAGAGCCCCGGUGCCCACGUGGACGUGUCGGAGACGAGAGUCCCCGUCGUCCCAAGGCAGAAGGAAGGCCUCCCCGAGAGACCGGAGAGACGUCCGUUCAGGUUGCAAGCCACGGUCGUCGCCGGCAAGAUUCUCGGCGGAGGCCGACUUUUUUAAAAAAACUCUGUCGACCUCAGAUCAGACGAGAAUACCCGCUGAAU